AUCCAAUUGAUGAGUCCAAAAUAGGACGAAAUGCGCAUUCUGGAU
rnacentral:hammerhead_ribozyme from 1 species